GAGGAAGUAAAAGUCGUAACAGGGUUUCCGUAGGUGAACCUGCGGAAGGAUCAUUAUUGAAGUUGAUUCGGGUUGUCGCUGGCUCCUAGGAGCAUGUGCACGCUCGUUCAUAUUCAUUCUCUCUCGUGCACCUUUAGCUAGACUAUUGAAUACCUCUCGAGUGAAAAUCUCGGAUAGAGGGGCUGCGCUUCAGUGUGCUUCCCUUGCAUUUUCAUAGUCUAUGUCUUCAUAUACCCUUUGUAUGUCUUGAAUGUCUUUUUGUGGGUCUUUUGACCUAUAAAUCUAGUACAACUUUCAACAACGGAUCUCUUGGCUCUCGCAUCGAUGAAGAACGCAGCGAAAUGCGAUAAGUAAUGUGAAUUGCAGAAUUCAGUGAAUCAUCGAAUCUUUAAACGCACCUUGCACCCUUUGGUAUUCCGAAGGGUAUGCCUGUUUGAGUGUCAUUAAAUUCUCAACCAUUGAACUUGUUUCUCUGGAUUGGAUGUGGGGGUUUGCAGGCUUCGCAAGAGGUCAGCUCUCCUUAAAUGUAUUAGUGGAAACCGCUUGCAGGAUUCAUUCACUUCUUGGCGUGAUAGUAUCGUCGUCAAAAGGUAGUGUCUCCGAGGUGUCUGCUCUCCAACUGUCCGUAAGGGACUCUUAAUGACUUGUUUGACCUCAAAUCAGGUAGGGCUACCCGCUGAAC
rnacentral:rRNA from 1 species